UGGGGGAUAUUGCACAAUGGGCGAAAGCCUGAUGCAGCGACGCCGCGUGGAGGGUGUAGGCCUUCGGGUUGUGAACUCCUUUUUCUCGCGAAAAAGGCACAGUUUUGGCUGUGUUGAUGGUAGUGGGGGAAGAAGCGCCGGCUAACUACGUGCCAGCAGCCGCGGUAAUACGUAGGGCGCGAGCGUUGUCCGGAUUUAUUGGGCGUAAAGAGCUCGUAGGUGGUUCGUCGCGUCUGUCGUGAAAGCCAGCAGCUUAACUGUUGGUCUGCGGUGGGUACGGGCGGGCUUGAGUGCGGUAGGGGUGACUGGAAUUCCUGGUGUAGCGGUGGAAUGCGCAGAUAUCAGGAGGAACACCGAUGGCGAAGGCAGGUCACUGGGCCGUUACUGACACUGAGGAGCGAAAGCGUGGGGAGCGAACAGG
rnacentral:rRNA from 1 species